AUGGGCCGUGUGUGGCCUGGAGUGGGGUACUUAACCCAUCGUGUAUCACUGGACUGGUUAUGCAAGGAGAAAACACUAACGACUCUGUUCCCAUCUCCUUCGUCUUCCUCCCUCCUGCUCUCCUCACCCUUUCAGGCACUGUAUGGGAAGGAGCCCAAUUUUGGAGGACUGCCGACGCUCGCAGCACAAUUGCCAGCAGAAACGAGCUCAGAGCUGGACUGGGCCACGCAUACAGAUGCCCUCCGGGCACAGCUCGCGCGCGCCCAGAAUCGUGUCAAACAGAAGGCAGAUAAGCACAGGACGGAGCGCUCGUUCGCGGAAGGUGAUCAAGUGCUACUCAAGCUUCAGCCGUACGCGCAGUCUACGGUGGCUAAUCGCCCCUGCCCCAAGCUCGCCUACAAGUUCUUCGGACCGUUCACUGUCCUGCAACGCAUUGGCGCCAUGGCAUACAAGCUCCAACUGCCGGACAACAGCCGGAUACACCCAGUUUUCCACGUGUCACAGCUGAAGCCUUUCACACCGGACUACUCGCCGGUCUUCUCCGAGCUGCCUCGCGCGCCAGACCUCACCGCGGCUCCCCUCCAACCCGUGGCCAUCCUGGAUCGACGGAUGGUCAAGAAAGGCAACAACUCGGUGGUUCAGGUGCGCGUUCAGUGGUCAUCUCUUUCUCCAGCGUCAGCAACCUGGGAGGACUACAACGUGCUGCGCCUUCGCUAUCCUACGGCACCUUGCUGGAAGAACGACGCUGCCGCUCAAGGCGGGGCAACUGUCACACCUGAUACAUCUGAUACAAGUGUAUCGGUGGACAUGUAA
rnacentral:rRNA from 1 species